rnacentral:tRNA from 1 species
GCCGAAGUGAUGGAAUGGUAGACAUGAGGGAUUCAAAAUCCCUUGCCGCGAGGCGUGAGAGUUCGAGUCUCUCCUUCGGUACCA